rnacentral:lncRNA from 1 species
CUAUAUCUCAACAUACAAUUCAUGUAAACAAUUUAAUAUAAUUCCCCCUUAAUUAAAGCAUACUAGAAUGUGAAGACAUUUCCCCUUAUUCGAUGCAUAGCGCCUAAAUUCUUCCCCCUUUUGGCAUUAGCAAAAAGAGUAUACCAAUUGUUUAUUGAAUUAUUGACGAUACCAAUUGUUAGAAAAAUAAUCAUAUCAACAUCAAAUACUACCAAGUGUUCAUAAAAUCAUACCAAUCAUAAUGACGGUUUUUCAUUAUAUACGAACUGUUAUUUAAACUAAAAAUAUUCAUCAAACCAUGAAUCAAUCAUUUAACAUAAAGAUAAUNN